rnacentral:rRNA from 1 species
CCUACGGGCGGCUGCAGUGGGGAAUAUUGGACAAUGGGGGCAACCCUGAUCCAGCCAUGCCGCGUGUGUGAAGAAGGCCCUCGGGUUGUAAAGCACUUUCAGUGAGGAAGAACGCCUGGUGGUUAAUACCCAUCAGGAAAGACAUCACUCACAGAAGAAGCACCGGCUAACUCCGUGCCAGCAGCCGCGGUAAUACGGAGGGUGCGAGCGUUAAUCGGAAUUACUGGGCGUAAAGCGCGCGUAGGUGGCUUGAUAAGCCGGUUGUGAAAGCCCCGGGCUCAACCUGGGAACGGCAUCCGGAUCUGUCAAGCUAGAGUGCAGGAGAGGAAGGUAGAAUUCCCGGUGUAGCGGUGAAAUGCGUAGAGAUCGGGAGGAAUACCAGUGGCGAAGGCGGCCUUCUGGACUGACACUGACACUGAGGUGCGAAAGCGUGGGUAGCAAACAGGAUUAGAUACCCCUGUAGUC